rnacentral:lncRNA from 1 species
GCAUUUGACCGCUCCUCCCUCCGCGUUGGAGGCGGAAUAGUGGGUUUUGCUGCAACCGGUUUAUUUUCCUUCUGUUUUCACCCAUUCUGGCACAAUCUGGCGCCAUCGUCCUUCUUGUGAGGCCAAGCCUGAAAAUGCGAAGCAGAGAGGCAGGACCAAAAUUGAGGCGAAUCCAGGAACCUGCCAAUGGGUCUCCGGGUGCGGUCUCUGAAACUGGAGGAUAUCGGGAGGAAAGGCUCUCCGAUGCGGAGAUAAUGGGGAAGCUCUUGGCAUGGUUGGCUGUAGGUAUGUGAUACCGGAGGAGCAGGAGUCAAAUAGGAUACGCCGACUUUUAAUUCAAGGAACCCUUUUCUGAAACACUUUGCCACAAUGAAGGAAAUAAGAUUACAGCCGAAGAUACAUAUUAAGGAAUUGUACUCUCAGAGAUGUUGAGAAAAGAUACAUGGGUCUUGGAAGAUAAUUACUCAAAAUAUGCAGGGAAGGAUCUAGUUUGAAGCACUAAGAAGAAUAAGACAUCAGUUUGAAAAGAGGCUCUAUCAGAACAACACGAAUUCUGCUAAAAUUGAAGCAAGAACAAACAUCAAAUAUAUGUUGACACUUGGGUGGAAGAAUGGUGAACUAAUUGAUGCUUUAUGAAAAGUUGAUAGGGACAGUGCUCCAAAGAAAUCAGUUUACAAAUGGAUAACUCGUUUUAAGAAGGCAUAAGGUAAUGUUGAAGAAGAAGCCCACAGUGGCAGAUCAUCCACAUCAGUUUGUGAGAAAAAAGUUAGUUCAUGGCGUAAUUGAAGAAAACCAACAAUUAACAGCAGAAACAACAGCCAACACCAUAGACAUCUCAGUUGGUUCACCUUACACAAUUUUGACUGGAAAAGUUCAGCAAACUUUAUACCUGAUAGGUACCAAAACCAUUGCACCCAGAUCAGCUACAGACAAGAAUAGAGCUUUCAAUGGAAAUUUUAAAUAAGUGGGAUCAGGAUCUUGAAGCCUUUCAUUGAAAAAUUGUAACAGGAGAUGAAACAUGGCUUUACCAGCGCAAUCCUGAAGACAAAACACAAAGCAGUGGUUACCAAGAUAAGUAGUUCAGUUAAAGCACAAGAGGACUGGUUGAGAGCAAAGGUCAUGGCAACAGCUUUUGAAUGCUCAAGGCAUUUUGCUUGUUGACUUUCUGUAGGGCCAAAGAAUGGUAACGUGCUUAUCAUGGGAGUGUUUUGAGAAACUUAGCCAAAGCUUCAGCAGAAAAAUCCCCGAGAAAGACCAGAGAGUUCUUCACCACAACAAUGUUCCUGCUCAUCCCUCUCAUCAAACAAGGCCAUUUUGCAAGAGUUUUGAUGGGAAAUCACUAGGCAUCCACCCUACAGUCCUGGUUUGGCACCUUCUGACUUUUUGUUUCCUAAUCUUAAAAAAAUUUUUCAGGGCAGUACAUUUUUCUCAAGUUAAUGUAUAAAGAAACUGCAUUGAUGUAGAUAAAUUCCCAGAACUCUCAGUUCUUUAGGGAUGGACUAAAUAGCUGGUAUCAUCACUUACAAAAGUGUCUUGAAUGCUAUAGAGCUAAUGUUCAAAAAUAUAGUUUAUAUUUUUUAUCUUUUAACCAUUUUUCCACAAACUUUUUGAAGUCUCCUUGAAUAUGUACCAUUUAUAAAGGGGAAAAAUUCUGUGACUACUCAUGUUGACUUAAUGCUGACUUAAUUUUCUGUUUUGUAAAUAUAUACAAACAAGUUGAUACAAAUUUUGUUUAUAGCCCUUAAACAAAUUUGUGAAAUAAAUGCAUUCAGAAACAAACUAAAA